GUCAGUGUGGUAUAGUGGCUUGAGUGAUAGACUAUGAUUCUAGAGACCAGGUUUCAAAUCCCUGCUUGGCCA